GUCAGCAGAUUCAGCAUCUGUUUACUCGUCACUAGAGGGCAGAUGUUCCGCGGAUCUACAGGUGUUGUUGUCGCCGCCACUUAUCAUCGAGUGUUUGACCACCGCAGACGGUAAUUAGCGGCUCAGCCUUUCACGUUUGGUGCGAUAACAUCGGCCGGUGACAAUGCGCCCUUAUCCAUCUUCCCGCCAUCAGCGUUCACGGUCCAAUUCCGUUGCACAAACGCCCGCGGAUGUUUUCCUGAUUAAAGCGGCAGAUAGUUGGUGCGUGUGGGCGGGAUGAGCGCGGCGCUCUGGGAGUCUGGUCAAGUGCAAACUACCUCUAAUGCCUCGGGCUUACAUGCCAGGAUGUUUUGGUGAAGAGAAUUUCCUGCUUAGCUUAAGCCAUCAGCCGCCCACAACUAGAACAAGCAGCACAUGGUCUGAGGACACUUGACAGACGUCUCACUGUGGAUGAAGAAUACAUUUUUAAUGUCUAUGCUGUUCGCUGUUAUCUGUCAGCCAAGUCUACAAUGAUCAAACUUCAAAGACUGAAGUCAUUGUGGCUGAUGACCUUGAAGAGCAUCUAACAGAGAUUUAACUCCAUCUGCAAAUGUUUGGAGAGCUGCAAAGGACCACUCGGAUCAGGAGACUUGGAGCAACUACAAACAUUCCAGAGUUGUCUGACACUGAUUCCCCCAUCCCAUGUUAUCCAACAAUAAUGACAAAACAUGCCCAUUUUCAAAAGCAAUAAAUAAAGGCAUAUGCAAAUACUUAGCUGGUGUGCCGGGGAUAUGACAUAGCAUUUGGUAAACUUAAAGCCUGGGUGAACAGUUCUGCUGCUGCUUUGAUGAGCCCAGAACAAAAACAGUGACUGAGCUGUAGAGUUAUUUCUGUUGAUUGCUUUGAUCUGAAAUGUGCAAAUCACUUCUGGAUGAUACUAAACCCUUCUGUGCUACUUUUCAACUUGACAGGGUUUGGUAUCAUUUGCGUGGAAUUUCAAAGCCUCACGUUGCAAUAAAGGAAAUGAUUAUGUUCGUGUUACACAACAAUGCAGAGCGAAAAAUCAGUUUUGCACAGCGAUUAACUGAAACAUAAACAGCUGUAUUGUAUCGGUUGUGAAAAAACAUUAUCGGUCGAUCUCUAUCAUAAACAUAACAUA